AGUGAACGCUGGCGGUAGGCCUAACACAUGCAAGUCGAACGGCAGCACAGUAAGAGCUUGCUCUUACGGGUGGCGAGUGGCGGACGGGUGAGGAAUACAUCGGAAUCUACUUUUUCGUGGGGGAUAACGUAGGGAAACUUACGCUAAUACCGCAUACGACCUACGGGUGAAAGCAGGGGAUCUUCGGACCUUGCGCGAUUGAAUGAGCCGAUGUCGGAUUAGCUAGUUGGCGGGGUAAAGGCCCACCAAGGCGACGAUCCGUAGCUGGUCUGAGAGGGUGAUCAGCCACACUGGAACUGAGACACGGUUCAGACUCCUACGGGAGGCAGCAGUGGGGAAUAUUGGACAAUGGGCGCAAGCCUGAUCCAGCCAUACCGCGUGGGUGAAGAAGGCCUUCGGGUUGUAAAGCCCUUUUGUUGGGAAAGAAAAGCAGCAGGUUAAUACCCCGCUGUUCUGACGGUACCCAAAGAAUAAGCACCGGCUAACUUCGUG
rnacentral:rRNA from 1 species